rnacentral:lncRNA from 1 species
UUUUGUUACACCAAGUCGCGAGGGCUGUCAGUUUUUAUGGCACACAUUUGUUUACAUGAACACACAUUUCGCGGGGCUCCAGGGAAGCCACAACAAGGAGCGACAGCGUCAAAGCUCCCAAACUGCUGGACAUAUCGUUUACUAUAUGUUUACGCAGAAGAACAGAAGACAGGCCCGUUGGUGCGGCACCAAAGUCAGGUGCGGUUUACCGAUUCUACACCAUGUACACG